rnacentral:tRNA from 1 species
ACCUAGCUAGUUCAGUUGGUGGAGCAUUUGACUCUUGAUCUUGGAGUUGUGAGUUCAAGCCCCACACUGGGUG